AGAAAGGAAUAAACCAAAAAGAGGAUAUGAAAUCAAGGAACCAAAGAAUGUUAUUUAUUAAUAGAUUAAGGAGUCCCAGAACAAAAGAUGUGCAACACUCUUGGAGAGUAGUCAAUUCAGACUAGAGGAAAAGUGAGAGCUUCCAGAAGUGUAUCUCCAAGAAAAGCUGAAACUGAGAAGAGUAAAUGCUGUUUUGAAAAUAUUGAGAGAUUUUGGGAGGAUCGCUUGAAACUGGGGUCGGGGGUGGGGGGUCAAGGCUGUAGUGAGCUGCGACUGUGCUAUGGCACUCCAGCCUGGGUGACAGAGCAAGACCCUGUCUAAAAAUAUAUAUAUAAAUAAGGCUGGGCAUGAUGGCUCACGCCUGUAAUCCCAGCACUUUGGGAGGCCAAUGCAGGCAGAUCACCUGAGGUCAGGAGUUUGAGACCAGCCUGGCCAACAUGGUGAAACCUCGUCUCCACUAAAAAUGCAAAAUUUAGUGGGUAUGGUGGUGUGCACCUGUAAUCCUAGCUACUCGGGAGGCUGAGGCAAGAGAAUAGCUUGAACCCAGGAGGUGGAGGUUGCAAUGAGCCAAGAUCACACCACUGAACUCCAGCCUGUGCAACAGAGCAAGACUCCAUCUCAAAUAAUAAUAAUAAUAAUAAUAAAAUUUAAAAAAAAGAAAAUAAUGAAAGAUUUACAGUUCUUUGAGAAUUUGGAGAGAACCCAAUGACAGUUAUAAACAACAAAAAUUAAAGCAAUUAACUCCAGAGACAGCAAAAAGGUGUAUAAAAAGGGAAGUGUAAUCAUAUUAUACUACAAAGCUCAAGUUGUAAAUAUAUUUACAUUGGCAUAAUGUAAACAGCAUAUUGAAAUAUAACUAAAAUUUUAAUAAGAUAUGGAUAGGAAAAAGAUAAUAAGAAAGCUACAUGAUCAUUUUCAUUAAAGGAAGUCAAGAUAUCCAAAACAGAAAAAAAAAUAGCAGCAUAAGCAUGUUAUUUAGAAAAUAUUUAGAUAAAUUUCAGAAUAAAAAAUUAAAAGAUCAAAAAGUUAAAAUAAAUUUUACUUGGGUUAGAUAUGCUGGAAAAAAAAAAAAAAA
rnacentral:lncRNA from 10 species